CGUCUAAAAUUAAAACAAAAUGGCUCCAAGAAAAAUGGCGAUGUUCGAAAACUGGACGAAUAAUACACUGAUCACUUUAUAUGUGUUUUGGAAUUUUUGUUCUGCUGAAUCAUGGGAUCAACUGAGAACAUUCCACUCAUUAAAGAUAUUCAAGACAGUGUACUGAAACUAUGUCUGGAGCGACUUAAAAGUGACCGAACAAUUGAAAUUGAUGGAAUAAUAUGUAUAUCACAUGGAAAACAAGAGAACAACAUUGUAGUAAAGAUGCAUCGGACAAUAUUAAAACCAAAACAGUUUCUUGAUGGUUCACGAGAAAUGAAGACAUCAUCCCGUCUGAGGCGAUCGAUUGAAGCUGCAAGGGAUGUAUUGAGACAAUCAACUCGACGUAAAUCACAGAGGAAGAAAAUUAAUUUCCCAUUGAAUGCCUCCAGUGGUGAUGUCACAGUGGAAGUACAGUGCAAUAGUGGAGAUGACAAUACAUGGACUCGUAACAAGCGUCAAAAUGAGGAAUCCAUUGAGCAUCUUUCACCAAAGUCUCAGAGACGUGAACCUAAAACUCAACAAAUGCAAGAUAUAGAAACCAGUCAAGCAAGCCAAGAUAGUACAAGUGCCAUGGAUGAUCCAGGUUUUCCUGAGAGUUGUGUCCUUGGGGGCAUCAUGGCUAAACAAGCCUCCACAUUGGACAUCAUGAACAGAGUAAAGUUAUCAACUGGUACACCUGGAGCUACAAACAGUUCAGCUGUGCCUGAAAUACCAGGGCAUAACUCAAAAGUUUUGGAGAGUUCAUCUAUGGGAACAUUAUCUACUGUGAAUGGUCUUGAAUCACAGAAUAUAUCACAGCAUAAUGUUAGUGUUUAUUCAGGCACGCUCAAUACAGACCAGCCAAACAUAAGCCCAAAAUCAAAACCAUCAAAAAUUGCAAAAUCUAAGCAAAGGAGAUUCUCUAAAGCUCAAACUAAGCCAGAGGAAACUAUAGAUACAAAGAAUGGUGUGAGGAUUACCGGUGUUGCAAAGCCUAUUGGUGUGACCCCGGGAGAAACUGAUGUGGCCCAGGAGUACUCCUCCAGUUCGCAGAGACUGGCGCAAUCUCUUUCUGAAUCUGUGAGUGUUUCAAAAUUAGAAGGGAUAAAGAUAUAUAAAUAUAAACGAUCCCCUAAUGAUAGUUUCAAAUCCAGACAACGCCAUCAUGUGAGACGUGGUAGCUCGUGUCGCACAAAUCUUCAAAAUAGUUUUUCCAAAGCUGAUCAAAAUUAUCGUCAAAUUGAAGUUUCAGAGAAAAAAUCCUGUAUAUCACGUGGAAAAAGCCUCAGAUCUCAAAACAGAGGAGUUAGGUUUGAAAGCUCAGAAAGAUCUCCGUCAAAACAUAAUCCCACAAAAACUCAAAAUAUGACUCAUCCCAUCCCCCGAAUAGGGGACUCAAAAUGUGACAUGACAUACCCCAUGCCAAAAACAACUAUAGUGUCAAAUGAUAAUUAUAUUAACAUUCAACGUAAGCGCAGGAUAAGUGGACGUAAAUCAUCACGUGCAAGAAAACUAUCUAACCAGAAGACGAUAGAAUCCGAUGAAUCUAUGGACAUGAAUGACAAACCCCAAAACAGAAGUGUUAUUGAUGCUCCAGUCAAACAAAAGCUUAUAAUGUUGAAUGGGGGUAAAAGCCUGGAUAGAAAGGCAUGGACGAGUGAUUCUGAUAAUUGUGACUACAUGUCUAUGGAGAAAAUGGAUAGCAUUUUAAAUAAUACCAAGACUGUAGAAGUGAAGGACAAGAGCCACCUUAAGGACUCUACUACGGAUACACAAAAACAAACCAAACCUGAUCUUUUUAAUCUUGAUAGGUCAUUUUUAGUUGAUCAAUCUAGGGAUCUCUCACACAAUUGGGUUAAAGAAGAACGCAGGACACGAGUAGACUCAGGGCAGUUUCCGAUCAAAUCAAAUCGUCGAUCAUUUGAAAAUCUUAUCAUUUCAAGACAAGAUAAAAAACGCAAAUCAGCGAACUCUAUUCUAAUACAGAGCUCAAAAUCAACCAAUAGUGACUACCGACCUGAGAUAAGUCGAAGACAUCCAUGUAAAAUGUGUGGAAAGGUUUUGAACAGUGUGGGACAAUUGUGGAACCACCAAAAAGUUCAUGAGGUUUUAAAGUGUCCUCAGUGUCGUGAAGAAUUCCAAGAUCGAAAUUGUUUUAUGACGCAUUUUACUGAGGUUCAUAAUGUUGAUGCAGCUGCAGAUUCUUUGAUAAAAGAUGUCAGCACUACAAGUGGACAUUCAUGAUGGAUAUGCAACCUUGAAUAAAGUGCUUAGUCAGCAUCUUCUUAGGAACUGCCCCCCCCCUUCAGUACAAUAAUUGUAAGCAUGCAAUUCUUUUAUAUGGCAAAUACCAUAAGUAUAUGAGUACUGAUUACAGAUAUUUAGUAUUUUAUGAAGUCUCUAGUCUAACAGACUAACAGAUAAUCAAUAUCUGAAAAUAGAUAAGUUAUAUGUGAAAUAGGUUAUAUGUGAAAUAAGU
rnacentral:misc_RNA from 1 species